rnacentral:lncRNA from 1 species
CGAAUACACUUGACAGCUGAGGGAACCAAAGUCCAGUGAGAAUAAACGACCUGUCUGGUAUCAAUUUUUAAUUAUUUAUUGUGCAUUAUAGUUUCAAGUACCUUUUCUGUAUUAUUAACUAAAUUAUACAGAGAAACUAUUCUUUGCAGUUCAUUAAAAUCCCCAGACUGUCUAGAACAGGCCCUUUUGUAAGAAGUAUUCAUAAAUAGAUGAUUUUAUUUUAUGCUUUAAUUCACAUCAAUAUGGUUUUACAUUUUCCUGUGCUGAACUUCAGAUAAAGGCCUAUGGCCUCUCCUAAAUUGUGUUCAAUUAGCUUUGAGAAUAGAAAUAUAGAUCCUAAACUAACAAGCUGAUAUUUUUUCCUCUGUUGUGAAACCAGCAACCUAAUAUUCGCCUAUAUGUGAAUAAAGUAUGUAUAGAAGUACAUUGCAUUCACAAUUCAUAUACCAGACAAGGUAUAUGAAUUACGUUCUAAUGGAAGGAGUCAAACACAUACAUAAACACCAAAGAUAAAGUAUUUCAGGUAUUGGUAAAUAUUGGAGAAAACAAUGUAUUUUGGCCAUGAGUAAUUACAAUUUUAUGGCAGGUGUUGGGAAAGCCAAACUAUACAAUCAUAUUUUAAUAAUUUCCUGAGAGAGAUGAGGGACACUGGCAUGCAGUUAAAUAAGGGAAGAGCAUCUUGGCAAAUGGAAGAGGAAAAGCUCUAGGAUGGAGUCCAUCUGGAAUAGCAGAGUGAAGAGUAUGGUGGAGCAGAGGGAACAAAGGGAAGUCCUGGUAGUGAAGGCAAUAGAAAAAGGCAAUAGAAAAAGGUCCUGGUAGUGAAGGCAAUAGAAAAAGGAAGAAUAAGGGAGAAAAUUUCUAUUUAGCUAGGGUACUCCAGGCUUUUAUCCUCAGUGAGAUGGGAAGCAGAUGAUACUGAGAUGAAGAGUGAUGUGAUUUGACUUCAUUUUCAAAGGUUUAGUCUGUGCUGUGAGCAGCAUUCAGUGUGGCUAAUACACACACAGAAGCAUAAAAAUUAGGUAGGAGGCACUAUCAAUAAUCCAGAUAAGACUUCCUGUUGGCUUAGAUGAGAGAGGUAGCAAUGAGAGACUAAGAAGUUCUAGCUAUAUUCUGAGUAUAUAACUCAGAAGAUUCCCUGAUGAAUUAGAUGAAAGCAUAUGAGAGAGGAAUCAAGAAUGACCCACACCUGACUGGAGAAACUUGAAGAGUGCCAUUGUCAUAGAUCAGGUUGGAGAACACUGCGUAACACAUGCUAAAGCUCAGACAGAGCUUCUACCCACAGCAAAGAUGGUAAAUGAGAAAACUAUUGAAAAAAAGCUUUAUUUAUAGUUCUAUGGCAAAAAGUAGUUGCCACUCAACUUAAAAUUAUGUCUCUGCUAUAUGACAGAAGGGAUGACUGAGCCUUGUUUCCAUUAUUUUCAAACACAUCAUCAUUCACAUACUGCUGGUAUUAGCCUUAACGCAGAUUGAAGAUUUUUUUUUUUCUGAAGGCAUUAUUUAUGUCUUCAUAUCAUUAGGAAAAUAAAAAUAGUUGUCUAAUUCAUGACCUCCCUAAUUGUCCUCUCAUGCUGAGGACAUUUGCCUGCUUCCUAUCUUUAGCUGAGGCAACACUGUAAAAUUCCAUUUAUUAAUAUGAUAUGGCCAAUAUAACCAAAUGGACAGCUGUUCACACUGGGUUAAAGGACAUAAUACCCAAAAGCUCUCUGAAGAGGUCUAUGUUUUCUUAAAACAAAUAUUAUAAACUAUUAUACGUAUUUGAAUAGAUAGGUUAGGAAAAGAUGAACCAAAGAUUUUACCUCCUUCCCUGUGAGAUGUCAGCCUGUAAGCUGAACCCAGUCUCACUGUGGGUCUCUAAGUGAGGCAUUGUGAGAGGCUGCAUUCCUAAACCUAUACCUCUUAGAAUUUCCCUGUGCUGUACUGUAGGACCUUGUUGUUUAUCCAUUCUAAAUGUAGUAGUCUACAUCUAAUAACCCCAAACUCCCAGUCUAUCUCACUCUCUCCCCAUAGAGACAUAUAAUAUAGUAUUUCUAAAGUAAUGAUUAUAACCAAAUAUAUUCAUUCAUUAGGAUCAUGGUAACUGAAUAUAGUUACUAUAAUAAAAUAGCUACAACUGAUAUAAAUACAGCAGUGAUCUGUGAGGAUGCUAAAAUACAGUCUUGAAACUCUUUAAAAUAUAUUUCAAAUAAGGUUCUGCCAAUGAAAUGAUCAAUAUUGUGAGGAUAUGCUAAUUUCUGGGAAUAAGCUUCUUGCAUGAGAAUUCAAAUAGAUACCUUAUCUAUAUAUUAACCACUAACCUAUUUACCUAUUUAUGGAAUGAAUCACUAAAAAAUUAGCAACUGCAGAGUUUAUAUAUCAAAUAAAACUAAAAAGUAAUUAAGAUUUUUUUUUUUUAGGGCUGCACCCAGGGCAUAUGGAGGUUCCCAGGCUCGGGGUCUAAUCCGAGCUACAGCUGCUGGCCUAUGCCAGAGCCACAGCAAUGCCAGAUCCCAGCCAUGUCUGCGACCUAAACCACAGUUCACUGCAAUUCUGGAUCCUCAUCCCACUGAGCGAGGCCAGGGAUCGAACCCGCAACCUUGUGGUUCCUACUUGGAUUUGUUUCCACUGCUCCACAAUGGGAACUCCAGGAUUUCUUUUUUUAAGGCUAUACCUGCAGCAUAUGGAAGUUCCCAUUCUAGGAGUCAAAUCGGAGCUGCAGCUCUCAGCGUAUGGCACAGCCACAACACCACCAGAUCCAAGCUGCCUCUGAAAAUUUCACCACAGCUCAUAGUAACGCGGGAACCUUAACCCACUGAGUGAGGUCAGGGAUUGAAAUUGCAUCCUCAUGGACACCACGUUGUGUUCUUAACCCUCUGAGCCGCAAUAGGAACUCCCAACAGUUAGGAUUUUUUAGAACAAGGACCUUUUUGGUGCAGAUUUAUGAGAUGUUUUAUUUUCUUUUGAAAAGUAUUGAUUUUGAAAGCCUUCUAAAUAAAUGGCACUGAUCUAUCUAUUCUUGAAUCACUGAGAGUAGGUCACCUGUAGACAGCAAAUGAUUUUUAUUUCCUAGAGGUAUAUUUUGUUGAAGAGAAAACAAAGGCAAAAGAAAGCUUAAUUUAUAAUGCCACAUGAAAUUACUGGAAUUCAGCAUUUAAGAAUUUAUGCUGUAUAUAAUAUGAGAACACACUAGCUUCUGAAAUGAAACAAAUAGACUGAUUCUGUUUUAAUCCAAUAAAUACUAUGAAAUAAACCAUAAACAGAACAAUGAAAAAAAUUCUAUUAAAUAGAGAUAUUUCAUUCACAAUCAUACCAGCUACAUUUCUUAUUUGGUAAUGGUUUAAAAAUUAAAAUACACAAUUUAAAAUAAUAAAUCAUUAAGGAUACAGAGCUAUUUCUUCUGAGUUAAAAUAGAUUAUGAAAAGGACAACUAAAAUAAGGUCUUUGUUAUUGGUAAAUAU